GUGAAUCAUCAAAUUUUUGAACGCAAAUUGCACUCUCCUCUGAGGGGAUGCGUGUUUGAGUGUCAGCGUAUGAAAAAUCGACAUCGUUGCUGUUGCGCGGUGGCGUUCGGCGGAAAUUGGGUCAUGUUGUAUCUUUUGGGGUUAAGCGACUUAAAAUUUUCUUUUUGUUUCGAUGGACUUUUCUAAGAUCUAUUACUUUACACGUUUAGGGUAUCGAUUUUUAUUAGGCGUUACCAUCAUAUCGGAUCGCUA
rnacentral:misc_RNA from 1 species